rnacentral:misc_RNA from 1 species
AAAAGGUAUUGAGAGUAUCAGUUUUCUUUUUGUUUGUGUCUACAAUAUUUUCAGCAAAUUCAUUGGAGUUAUGCCAGUAAGAAUUGGAUGCUUGCCUUAUAGCAGAACAAUAUUUGUAUUGUCUUUUACUUAUAUCUAGAAUGAAUGAUUUAAUGUGAGUAGAAAACUUGAGAAGCUAGUUUUGGAUUCGUAUAGGUGCAGAAACUUGUUGAG